rnacentral:lncRNA from 1 species
CCUAAUUCACGAUACAUAAAUUUAAAUAAAAAGGCGUAACCGAUCAAAUGAUAAAUUCAUCGCGCAUCUAAAUUCUCUCAUAAAGGAAUGCUUUUUGCAGUUUUGGCAGCAAUGGCGACUAUAUUCAUAUAUUUAGCAUCGGAUAUCCAAUUUUGUUGAUUCAAUAUGAUCCGAAUAGCCAACAAAAUUUCCUACAAAUUUCGUCUUCUACAUUUUUCUAGAUUCGAACUGGAUCGUGAUCAAAUUAAGCCUCCAAGUUGAAGCAUGUGUGUUACUAAAAAUGCACCUACAAUGGAACCAUAAAAUAUUAAAUAAUAUUCAUGAAUCGAGAAUAAUAUAAUACCUCAUCUAUUUGGGGUAUGAUUCCAUCAUUUUUCUUGGAUUUAAUCUUCUUUCACCAAAAUUUUCGUGCAUUGAGUUGCAUUGGUCACGAACGGUUCCAUGUUACAUGAAAAGGUGCAUUGGCAGUUCCGGCACCCUUUCGUGUUUUCAUCAUAACUCAUUCGUAUAACCUCCGAUUUAGACAAUUGAACAUGUUCUGGAAAGCCAAAUAAAUUUUCUGAAACUCUAGUGAAACAUUAAAAUUUCCAUAUUCUUCAUCUUCGAAAAAGACGUGGAAUGUCAACCAUGUAUGCUGUCCGAAAAUGAAUCAUCUCUCCAAUUUGAUUUUGUAACUUCUUGAAUUAUGAACAUAAAUCUUCUUCAUUUCUGUGGUUUGCAAAUUCAAAAAAUACAUAAUAAUGUCUUACGAUUUUUAUGUGUGAGGUAUAUUUCGAAAUGCAAUUUGAACAAGUUUUAUGAACGGAAAAAGAAGUCGAGGCAAGAAUUAUAUUCUUUCUCCGUAAGACAUUAUUGGCUCGUAUUAGUGCUAACGGUUCUUGUCAAUUGUCCCCAAGAUACAAUCACUUGUGGGUAUUCGAGUUUGCAGCACAACAAGGCUCGAAGUACAGAUGAACAAAACGAGAGCUUUGGAUUUUCUAGACACGAAGAAAUGGACUUGAUAAUUGUAACAAUAUGCAAUGAGAUGUUAUGAUGAGAAGUGAAUUCAAUUAAUGUAUUGAAUUCCAUGUGAAAAAUGAAUUAAUGAAUGGUUCAAAUGUUGGAUUUUGGAAUCUAUUUAUAGAUCUUGAAAGGUUAUGACCAAAUGUCACAAUUCUUAGGAAAAUGAUAAUUUGAAAAGGUAACACAUCUUCUCACAUUAAACAC